GUAUUCUUGGCUCAGUUGGUUAGAGCGUGGUGCUGAUAAUGCCAAGGUCGCAGGUUUGAGCCCUGUAUGGCACA